rnacentral:snRNA from 1 species
UUCCAUUCAGGCCUAUUGGCUAUGAUCAAUGUGUAGUAUCUGUUCUUCUUAGUUUGACCACUAAGACUUGUCCUCUGGACAAAAUAGUUGUCAUAUUAUUUUUUGAA